GGGGUGGGAAGGGUCCUCAGGAACAGGUCUGGCUCCUGUCCUGGCCGUCCUGCUGUCUGCACCAGCAAGCACAGUGUCUCCUCUGGUCCUGUCUUGUAGGGGAAAGUCUGUGCGGCCUUCACCUGCCACGGGGACGGAUGUUUCAAGGGGAAGAAGACCACUGCGAGAUGCAUUGUUGGGUAUGACUUCUGUCAGAUGAAGAAGACAGGCCUGGAUUUUGUGGCAGGAUGCAGCAAGGCCUGCAAGGCUGCCAAGCCCGUCUGCGCUAAAGGCGUGAAGGCUGCCUGCUACCAGGAGUGCUGCCCCGCCACGCCGAAAGCCAGCUGCCUAAAGCUGGAUGGCAAAAUUCACCUCAACGCUGCUGGGCAGCUGCCCCUGGCCCCGCUCCUGCAGCUCCUGGCAUGCGGGGCUGCCCUUCUCCUGAACCGUGGGGUCUCUGCUCCCCUCCGGCUGUAAGCAGCAGGCGGGGGCCCCCUCUCUGGCUUCAGCCACAGUCACCGUCCACCACCCUCAGCUGCCAGGAACAAAGGGGCCAGAGCUUGAAGACGUUCCCCUGCCCUGCUGGGACUACGGAGGCUGGAUGGAGGGACCUCGGGUGUAGGAGCAAGAGGUUGCUACGCUGCCUUAAAAAGCAGAAACCUCUGCUUCGAGUGAAGGCACGGGGGCUGCUCUAGUUAAUAAUUGCUUCUCAGCUCAGCCUUUCUGGACAUCCCCUUAGCAUUUAGUUUGUACCUAAAGCCCCCUGUCUGUUUAGGCACAACUCUUAACUGUUUCAUCUCCACUUCGUGGCAGGAAAAUGGGACUGAGCUAAAAGUGGCUUGUGGUUUUAGAUGGCCCUGUUUCAUAUUUAUGAUUCUCUAUGCGUAAAGAUAGAGCAGAGACGGGAGCAGGAGCCCGUGCUGUGACCUUCUUGCAUCACAGGCAGCGGGUGGGUGGCUCUGUGGUGGCAAGGUGCUGCCACUCCUGCAAGCGCACAGUCUGCUGUCCUCUCUCACUGCUCUCUUUUAAGGGGAAAAAAAAGCAAAAAUAAAAAUAAAGAAAUGUCUG